GACGAACGCUGGCGGCGUGCUUAACACAUGCAAGUCGAACGGAAAGGCCCUGCUUUUGUGGGGUUCUCGAGUGGCGAACGGGUGAGUAACACGUGAGUAACCUGCCCUUUACUUUGGGAUAACUUCAGGAAACUGGGGCUAAUCCCGGUUAGGAGCUCCUGCUGCAUGGGGGGGGUGGGAAAGUUUCGGCGGUUGGGGAUGGACUCGCGGCUUUUCAGCUUGUUGGUGGGGUAGUGGCUUACCAAGGCUUUGACGGGUAGCCGGCCUGAGAGGGUGACCGGCCACAUUGGGACUGAGAUACGGCCCAGACUCCUACGGGAGGCAGCAGUGGGGAAUAUUGCACAAUGGGCGGAAGCCUGAUGCAGCAACGCCGCGUGCGGGAUGACGGCCUUCGGGUUGUAAACCGCUUUCGCCUGUGACGAAGCGUGAGUGACGGUAAUGGGUAAAGAAGCACCGGCUAACUACGUG
rnacentral:rRNA from 1 species